UACGAAGGGGGCUAGCGUUGUUCGGAAUUACUGGGCGUAAAGCGCACGUAGGCGGAUACUUAAGUUAGGGGUGAAAUCCCGGGGCUCAACCCCGGAACUGCCUUUAAUACUGGGUAUCUCGAGUUCGAGAGAGGUGAGUGGAAUUCCCAGUGUAGCGGUGAAAUGCGUAGAUAUUGGGAGGAACACCAGUGGCGAAGGCGGUCCCCUGGGCCGGAACUGACGCUGAGGCGCGAAAGCGUGGGUAGCAAACGGG
rnacentral:rRNA from 1 species